AAGUCGUAACAAGGUUUCCGUAGGUGAACCUGCGGAAGGAUCAUUACCAAAAAAUCCAAUACCAACCCCUUUUUGUGAAUACUUUGAAUGUACUUGGGAGAGCUUGGAUCUCUCAAAGUUUUUAUUUUUCUUUAAACUUUGACUGCCUUCUCUCCCACGUUUAUUAACCUUAAAACACCUUUCAUGGGUUAACUAUAUAAUAGUAAUUUCAUACUAAAAAAAUAAAAAAUUUAAAAGUUAAACAACUUUUAACGGUGGAUCUCUUGGCUCGU
rnacentral:misc_RNA from 1 species